AUUGAACGCUGGCGGCAGGCCUAACACAUGCAAGUCGAACGGUAACAGGAAGAAGCUUGCUUCUUUGCUGACGAGUGGCGGACGGGUGAGUAAUGUCUGGGAAACUGCCUGAUGGAGGGGGAUAACUACUGGAAACGGUAGCUAAUACCGCAUAAUGUCGCAAGACCAAAGAGGGGGACCUUCGGGCCUCUUGCCAUCGGAUGUGCCCAGAUGGGGUUAGCUAGUAGGUGGGGUACCGGCUCACCUAGGCGACGAUCCCUAGCUGGUCUGAGAGGAUGACCAGCCACACUGGAACUGAGACACGGUCCAGACUCCUACGGGAGGCAGCAGUGGGGAAUAUUGCACAAUGGGCGCAAGCCUGAUGCAGCUAUGCCGCGUGUAUGAAGAAGGCCUUCGGGUUGUAAAGUACUUUCAGCGGGGAGGAAGGGAGUAAAGUUAAUACCUUUGCUCAUUGACGUUACCCGCAGAAGAAGCACCGGCUAACUCCGUG
rnacentral:rRNA from 1 species